CCCUCAUGCAAAUCCCAUCUCUGCUUCCUGUCUCAUCUGCCGGGUAGAAAAGCUGAACUGACCGGCUGGGAUGUUCUACUGAGAUCUUGGUGUCCUCUCAGAACACUCAGAACAUCUAAAGCCAAUAAGACAUCAUGUUUCUAUCCUGUUGUCUUUUGUGUCUGUCCUCAUUUAUUGGGGUCAUGUCACAAACACUUACUCAGCCCUCCUCAGAGAUAAAAAAGCCUGGAGAGAGUAUGAAGAUGUCUUGUGCUGGAUCUGGGUAUUCGUAUACGGGCUACUAUAUAAGCUGGGUUCAACAGGUUCCAGGGAAAGGACUGACAUGGAUUGGGAGGGUUCAUCCUACUGAUAAUGGAAAUGUAAAAUAUUCCUCUGCAUAUCAGGGAAGAUUCACAAUAACUACUGAUGCGUCCAUAACCACAUCAUAUCUACAAAUAGACAAUCUGAAAGUGGAAGACACGGCCACAUAUUACUGUGCUAGAGACACAGCGAUCCAAGGAUGACAUCUGUCAUACAAA